AUACGAAGGAUGCAAGCGUUAUCCGGAUUUAUUGGGUUUAAAGGGUGCGUAGGCGGACUAUUAAGUCAGUGGUGAAAGCCUGCAGCUUAACUGCAGAACUGCCAUUGAUACUGAUGGUCUUGAGUACACUUGAGGUGGGCGGAAUGUGUCAUGUAGCGGUGAAAUGCUUAGAUAUGACACAGAACACCAAUUGCGAAGGCAGCUCACUAAAUUGUAACUGACGCUGAGGCACGAAAGCGUGGGGAUCAAACAGGAUUAGAUACCCUGGUAGUCCACGCCCUAAACGAUGAUUACUCGAUGUGUGCGAUAUACUGUACGCGUCUGAGCGAAAGCAUUAAGUAAUCCACCUGGGGAGUACGGUCGCAAGACUGAA
rnacentral:rRNA from 1 species